GUCGAGCGAACGGACGAGAAGCUUGCUUCUCUGAUGUUAGCGGUGGACGGGUGAGUAACACGUGGAUAACCUACCUGUAAGACUGGGAUAACUUCGGGAAACCGGAGCUAAUACCGGAUAAUAUUUUGAACCGCAUGGUUCAAAAGUGAAAGACGGUCUUGCAUGUCACUUAUAGAUGGAUCCGCGCUGCAUUAGCUAGUUGGUAAGGUAACGGCUUACCAAGGCAACGAUGCAUAGCCGACCUGAGAGGGUGAUCGGCCACACUGGAACUGAGACACGGUCCAGACUCCUACGGGAGGCAGCAGUAGGGAAUCUUCCGCAAUGGGCGAAAGCCUGACGGAGCAACGCCGCGUGAGUGAUGAAGGUCUUCGGAUCGUAAAACUCUGUUAUUAGGGAAGAACAUAUGUGUAAGUAACUGUGCACAUCUUGACGGUACCUAAUCAGAAAGCCACGGCUAACUACGUGCCAGCAGCCGCGGUAAUACGUAGGUGGCAAGCGUUAUCCGGAAUUAUUGGGCGUAAAGCGCGCGUAGGCGGUUUUUUAAGUCUGAUGUGAAAGCCCACGGCUCAACCGUGGAGGGUCAUUGGAAACUGGAAAACUUGAGUGCAGAAGAGGAAAGUGGAAUUCCAUGUGUAGCGGUGAAAUGCGCAGAGAUAUGGAGGAACACCAGUGGCGAAGGCGACUUUCUGGUCUGUAAC
rnacentral:rRNA from 1 species